AAUUCCAAAUUCAGCCAAGUGACAUCCCAGCCUGACCUGGAAGAAGAUGCAUGGAUUGAAAUAAAAUGUCCAACAAAGAAAGAUCCGGAGAAGACAGUGGCUGCUAAAGUCCUACUAUUUGGAGAUUCAUACAAAGAACUCAUCGCAAAGAAGAAUUUAUUCAUUCUGGGCAAUGAUAUAUGGGGCAAGGAGGAAAGCAGGGGUGUGCGCAUGCAAAAAAGAAAUGCGGGAGACCGACAAUGAGGUGGCUAAAAAGCCUGUGCUGGCAAAGCAAACCAAGAUUAAAGAGGCAGCCAGGGACCAGGUAUUACAAAACCUAAAGACUGCCCUGUCUCAGAAGAGGGCCCUAGCCAUACAAGAUCACCACACCAGUUCUGAGGAUGAAUCUCCACAACGUUUUCAUAGUGUAAGGCAUGCUUUUUUUCCUAAGCAGCUGGCUACAUUGCUACACAACACCAAAAACCUGUGGUGUUUCCAAAACUACAAAGUGCUUAAUUAACAUGUCUUGAUUUGAAAGUAAUAGGACAAUCUACAUUUUA